UUCGGGAAACCGGAGCUAAUACCGGAUAAUUUUAGACACCACAUGGUGUCUAUAUAAAAGAUGGCUUACGCUAUCACUUACAGAUGGGCCCGCGUCGCAUUAGCUAGUUGGUGAGGUAACGGCUCACCAAGGCGACGAUGCGUAGCCGACCUGAGAGGGUGAUCGGCCACACUGGGACUGAGACACGGCCCAGACUCCUACGGGAGGCAGCAGUAGGGAAUCUUCCACAAUGGACGAAAGUCUGAUGGAGCAACGCCGCGUGAGUGAUGAAGGCCUUCGGGUCGUAAAGCUCUGUUGUUAGGGAAGAACAAGUACUAGAGUAACUGCUAGUACCAUGACGGUACCUAACCAGAAAGCCACGGCUAACUACGUGCCAGCAGCCGCGGUAAUACGUAGGUGGCAAGCGUUGUCCGGAAUUAUUGGGCGUAAAGCGCGCGCAGGCGGUCCUUUAAGUCUGAUGUGAAAGCCCACGGCUCAACCGUGGAGGGUCAUUGGAAACUGGGGGACUUGAGUACAGAAGAGGAAAGCGGAAUUCCACGU
rnacentral:rRNA from 1 species